ensembl:misc_RNA 7SK 7SK RNA
GGAUGUGAGGGCGAUCUUGCUGCGACAUCUGUCACCUAAUUGAUUGCCAGGGUUGAUUCGGCUGAUCUGGCUGGCUAGGUGGGUGUCCCCUUCCUCCCUCACCGCUCCAUGUGUGACCCUCCAGAAACUGCGUGAUCAGUGGAAGAGGACGGCCUUCCCCAAAAGAGACGGACCAGUCUUCAGUCGAGAGUAGCUGCGCUCCUCUGCUAGAACCUCCAAACAAGCUCUCAAGAACUCCUAGAAGCAGGACUGAAAGAUUUUAGAAGCAGACGUUUUACUGAAAAAUCCUCCAUCCCUUUGAAUACUGAGACUGUGGGUAUUU